GAUGAAGAACGUAGCGAAAUGCGAUAAGUAAUGUGAAUUGCAGAAUUCAGUGAAUCAUCGAAUCUUUGAACGCACAUUGCGCCCUCUGGUAUUCCGGGGGGCAUGCCUGUUCGAGCGCCAUUACAACCCUCAAGCUUUGCUUGGUAUUGGACAUUGCCAGUUUCUGGCAGGUCUUAAAAUCAGUGGCGGUGCCAUUUGGCUUCAAGCGUAGUAAUUCUUCUCGCUUUGGAGAUCCAAGUGGUUACUUGCCAAUAACCCCCAAUUUUUUCAGGUUGACCUCGGAUCAGGUAGGGAUACCCGCUGAACUUAAGCAUAUCAAUAAGCGGAGGA
rnacentral:misc_RNA from 1 species